ACGAAGGGGGCUAGCGUUGCUCGGAAUUACUGGGCGUAAAGGGCGCGUAGGCGGACAUUUAAGUCAGGGGUGAAAUCCCAGAGCUCAACUCUGGAACUGCCUUUGAUACUGGAUGUCUUGAGUGUGAGAGAGGUAUGUGGAACUCCGAGUGUAGAGGUGAAAUUCGUAGAUAUUCGGAAGAACACCAGUGGCGAAGGCGACAUACUGGCUCAUUACUGACGCUGAGGCGCGAAAGCGUGGGGAGCAAACAGGA
rnacentral:rRNA from 1 species